GCCUGAUGCAGCCAUGCCGCGUGUGUGAAGAAGGCCUUCGGGUUGUAAAGCACUUUCAGCGAGGAGGAAGGGUUCAGUGUUAAUAGCACUGUGCAUUGACGUUACUCGCAGAAGAAGCACCGGCUAACUCC
rnacentral:rRNA from 1 species